AUCUACUGAAAAACAGAAGACCGAAAUCGGACGCAUUUUCUAUUGGAAUUUUUUAUAUGUACCCAGUAAGGUAUUUAACACCAGAAGCCAAAAACACUUUCAAAAAAAUUCUUUGCAGCUUGUGUGGCUAGUUUGAGGUGAUAAAAAACCGAAAACUUGCACUUUUCUUACAACAAUUUCUCCAGUUACAUGAGCCGUACAGGGUCGUGUGGGGUGUCAUUAGAAAGGAAAUUGCAUGUACUUUCAGGGCAAUUAGGGUCCUAUUGGGGUAUGGAAGCAUCUACGACGAAUUAUGUAAAGUUGAAAUGUUUAAGUGCUUAUUUUGAAUCGUAGAUGCUACCAAACUUCCGUAAGCUUUAUUUGCCCUGAGAGUAAAUGCAAUUACCUUUCUAAUGACACCCUACACGACCAUGCACGUUUCGUGUAUCUCGAGAAAUUUCUGUAAGAAAAAUGCAAGUUUUCGGUUUUUGAUGACCUCUUACCAGCCAACACAAGCUUCAAAGAAUUUUUUUGAAAGUGGUUCUGGCUUCCAGGGUCGAAUAUCUUACAGGGCACAUA